UACGUAGGGUGCAAGCGUUGUCCGGAAUUAUUGGGCGUAAAGAGCUCGUAGGCGGUCUGUCGCGUCUGCUGUGAAAACUCGGGGCUUAACCCCGGACUUGCAGUGGGUACGGGCAGACUAGAGUGUGGUAGGGGAGACUGGAAUUCCUGGUGUAGCGGUGAAAUGCGCAGAUAUCAGGAGGAACACCGAUGGCGAAGGCAGGUCUCUGGGCCACUACUGACGCUGAGAAGCGAAAGCAUGGGGAGCGAACAGG
rnacentral:rRNA from 1 species